GCAGUAGCCACGGUAAUACAGAGGGUGCGAGCGUUAAUCGGAUUUACUGGGCGUAAAGCGUGCGUAGGCGGCUUCUUAAGUCGGAUGUGAAAUCCCUGAGCUUAACUUAGGAAUUGCAUUCGAUACUGGGAAGCUAGAGUAUGGGAGAGGAUGGUAGAAUUCCAGGUGUAGCGGUGAAAUGCGUAGAGAUCUGGAGGAAUACCGAUGGCGAAGGCAGCCAUCUGGCCUAAUACUGACGCUGAGGUACGAAAGCAUGGGGAGCAAACAGGAUUAGAGACCCCAGUAGUCCCUGUCUCUUAUAC
rnacentral:rRNA from 1 species